CCGGAGGACUGAUCGGCGGAGUCUGCGCAUGGUUAUUCGCAAGGAAAAUUGGCGGGGCGCAAGGCACAAUGCACAAGAUGGAAACUCCACUUACACGGGACUGGUUCUGGGGGAUCGAUCUGUUUACAGUGAUCUGAAGAGUUGCCGAGAGAGCCAACAUGAAUUGUUUACUUAUUCCGUCAGAUGACGUCACUGUUGAAUAGAAGAGGACGGUUGGCCGGGAAUUCACACAUGAGAAGGACAACCAUCGUGGAAGAAGCCACCGUGCCACACGUCUCUUACUUUUUAUAUACGACCGUUAUCCGUGUCUCCGGCAUCUCUCUCUCGAGUGUCACAUCUUCACUCCGAGACAUCACUGAAGGGUGUGACACAUUUUUUUAUCGUAGCGGCUUAGUUCUCUCACUUCAACCUAGACUCCUCCAGCCCAUGAUAGGCAGCCUCACGCUUUCACCAACCUUUGCCCUCUCAACUUUGCUCUGCGUUACGAUCUCAAUAAACUCAUUGUCCACAUUAUAGGCGGUUCAGUUUCUAAAGACAUGUUUCGCACAGAUCUGAAAAGUAGCAGUGUGUGACCCUCAACCUUCAGACUAGCCUCGAUUUUCUCUUGUCCGGGAGACUGGUGCAGUGGCUGAAACGGUCACGUGACAAUAAUUCCAAUGAUUCCGCCCUUCCCGUCCCGGCUCUUCGUAUCAGCAAGUUAUAAGAAUUAGCUCACUGAAUACUGAGCGAUAUGAUGUGAGUCUCGUCUUAUCCAGCAAACAGAUUUUUA